AGGGUUCGAUUAUGGCUCAGGAUGAACGCUAGCGGCAGGCCUAAUACAUGCAAGUCGAGGGGCAGCACGAGUACUUGUACUUGGUGGCGACCGGCGCACGGGUGCGUAACGCGUAUGCAACCUACCUUAUACAGAGGGAUAGCCCAGAGAAAUUUGGAUUAAUACCUCAUAGUAUCAUUUGAAGGCAUCUGAAGAUGAUUAAAGAUUUAUCGGUAUAAGAUGGGCAUGCGUAAGAUUAGUUAGUUGGUGAGGUAACGGCUCACCAAGACUUCGAUCUUUAGGGGUUCUGAGAGGAUGAUCCCCCACACUGGUACUGAGAUACGGACCAGACUUCUACGGGAGGCAGCAGUAGGGAAUAUUGGUUAAUGGGCGAGAGCCUGAACCAGCCAUGCCGCGUGCAGGAAGACGGCCUUCUGGGUUGUAAACUGCUUUUAUACGGGAAGAAAACGGCCUUGCGAGGCAGAUUGACGGUACCGUAUGAAUAAGCACCGGCUAACUCCGUGCCAGCCGCCGCGGUA
rnacentral:rRNA from 1 species